CCUACGGGCGGCAGCAGUGAGGAAUAUUGGUCAAUGGACGCGAGCCUGAACCAGCCAAGUAGCGUGAAGGAUGACUGCCCUACGGGUUGUAAACUGCUUUUAUACAAGGAUAAAGUGAGGCACGUGUGCCUUUUUGUAUGUACUUUAUGAAUAAGGAUCGGCUAACUCCGUGCCAGCAGCCGCGGUAAUACGGAGGAUCCGAGCGUUAUCCGGAUUUAUUGGGUUUAAAGGGAGCGUAGAUGGGUUGUUAAGUCAGUUGUGAAAGUUUGCGGCUCAACCGUAAAAUUGCAAUUGAUACUGGUAGGCUGGAGUGUAGUUGAGGUAGGCGGAAUGCGUGGUGUAGCGGUGAAAUGCUUAGAUAUCACGCAGAACUCCGAUUGCGAAGGCAGCUUACUAAGCUGCAACUGACAUUGAGGCUCGAAAGUGUGGGUAUCAAACAGGAUUAGAUACCCUUGUAGUC
rnacentral:rRNA from 1 species